rnacentral:rRNA from 1 species
UACGUAGGGUGCGAGCGUUAAUCGGAAUUACUGGGCGUAAAGCGUGCGCAGGCGGGUAUGUAAGACAGAUGUGAAAUCCCCGGGCUCAACCUGGGAACUGCAUUUGUGACUGCAUGGCUAGAGUACGGUAGAGGGGGAUGGAAUUCCGCGUGUAGCAGUGAAAUGCGUAGAUAUGCGGAGGAACACCGAUGGCGAAGGCAAUCCCCUGGACCUGUACUGACGCUCAUGCACGAAAGCGUGGGGAGCAAACAGGAUUAGAUACCCCGGUAGUCC